UGCAUGAUGAUAUAUUAUGAAUUUACAUAUUGUGGAUUAUGUUAAAUAGAAAAACAUACUUGAUGACAUAUUGCCAUGUUGUGGAACAUAGUGGACAAUCUAUAUAUAUAUUAGAUCGAGUGGCAUUAAACCUAGCAUCUUGAACCUAGCAAACACUUGUGGUGAUUGAUCAUAUAUAUUCUGGUGUCAUUCAUGUAUGUUAGGACCCUAUUAUUGUGUAAAUGUGAGAGUUGGACUUGAACAUUAGUAAACAAGGGUGACAAUGACAAUAGAGACAUGAUUGGCAUCAAGAAAGUGAUUGUUAAACAUAGUUUAACCAUAUUGACAUUGGUCCAAGUUGACAUAGAGAGUGGCAUGAUUAAAUAGGUAGAGACCUAUCAUGACAUUGGCAUUGUGACGAGUGGCUAUGAAUCCUCAAGUUGAGGAUUGGAUCGAUACUCACGAUAAGUCUUGGCUUGAGGGAGGUAGCUCCCCCUCGGGCGGUGCGCUCCGGAGUUGGUCACCACUGGGCGUGGUAAAGUCCCACCAGUUGACGGUCCCUAGGGAGGUUCGAGUCCCCCGUUAUUAAGGGAUUUGGUUGUGAGUUAUUGGGGUUAACAUGGUUAACCGGUAAGAUUGGGUCAUAGCCAAAUGAGUGUACAACAAGUAUGCAUUAUGAGUUAUGGAUUUGGUAUCCUAGUCGAGAGGAUUUAGGGCUGAGGUGUAUGUGAGACGUCCAUCGCCUCGAGCCUGGUUCUAGUGCGGUACUCCGCAGACGAUUGACUCAAGACCGAGUCGGGUGGUUAGCCUUGUAAAGGUAGAUGAAACUUUAUGAUUAAAACGGUGAUUGACAAGAAUCUAAGAUAGAGGAAACCUUAGAUAUCAAAUGGAUGAGCUAUGGUUAGCAGAAUUGAAAGUAGUAUCGAAUGAACUACUAGUUGGUUGCAUAGUUGCAUUAUUGCAUGAUUUGCAUAUAGUAUUGCAUUAUUGCAUUCGUGAGGCAAAGCAUGAUUUUAUUAGGUUGCAUAAUAAAGAUAUAUAUCUAUCUGUUUAUUGAACUAACUUGCAGUUGCCUCCCUUGGACCUAUUGGUCGAGCUCUUCCCUUGGGUGGCCGUACCCACUGGGAACCAUGGAGUUGGUUCUCACCCCACGUGGUUUUGGGGUUUUUACAGGUUCGCACGUGAGCGGCGCGGCGGCGCGAGGCGAGGGCGUAGCUCCAUAGUUAGCGCCUUACCACCGAGACCAGAGAUAGUGAUACCCUGAGUCGGCCUUACUUAGGGAUGUAAAGAAUGAAAGAAUCAAGUUGUAAUAAUUAUAUUAAAUCGGAUUGUAUUUGGAAGUUAAAUGUAAUAAGUAUUUGGGAUGUAAAAUGUAUGAAUGUGAAUGCAUGUAAUAACAUAGGAUGUGUUAUGUUGUUUGAUACCUUCCAUUAUGCAAUCUUGAUUGAAAUGUGUUCCUGGUUGGAACUUCGUACAUUGUGUUGAUUGCUAUGCCUUGAACGUACAGGGGAGACUCUGUCCGCAGUACAGGGGAAACCCUGUCCGUUCGGCGAUCUGUUGGCGGCACCGCGAUCCGGCCAAAUAGGCGGGCGGUCGCGGGGCGUGACAGAUAAGAUGGUAUCAGAGCAUAAAGAGAAUAUAAAAAGAAUAAUAGAAAAUGGUUUAGUUGGACCUAGGAGUCCCUAGGAUAGUAAACCAUAGGAGAUUAAGGCUCGUGAGAGACGAGGACUUGUUUCUUUUGGCGAAAAGUUAACUGAUUGGGUUGUGUCAUAAACCUCUAAAACGGAUGUUAGAGGUAGACUCAAGGUGUGGUUUAUUCUCAACAGAGAGUGUUCAUGUUGGGUGCACACAACAUGAAGCUAAGUGAUGAGAAUAGACACCCUUGCGUGACUUUCGCCUGAUUUGAGUCGGUAUUAAGUGUUUCGUGUUCGACCUAGAAGGUCGAGGAUUUAUAAAGUUGUCGCGUUUUAGAAAGCGAUAGCACUGCGUAGGCGAUUUGAGGCGAGCGUAGACUUGGAACUUCGCGAGUUAUGGCAACUCUCAUGACCUUUGAGAAAUUAACGGAAUCCUCGUCGUGUUAGAUCACUUUUGGUCAAAUUGACCAAAGUCCGUCGAGAGAAGUAGUUGGACAAAGUCCAAUUGACAUUCCAACAAUGUUGGAAGGGUUGGAAUUGAGUUCUAAAAGAGUUAGAAGGGUUUUGGCGUUGCUCGGCACGAAUUGGAGUCGAAGCGAUGCAAAAUCGAAAUUCUGGAAUAUGUGUUACCAGUUUAACACCAGGGGUGUACCGGUAUGGCAUGGUUGUAAUGGAGUGAAUUCUCGAGAGCCGAGAGUUGGACUUCGUCCGGGAUCGGCUAGUUAUCGAGUGGGUAUGUAAUAUACCGAAAUUUCGGUAACAAAGUUUCGAACCUUGGUCAAAUUGACCAAAGAGCGAGAUUGGUACGCUUUGGAAAGGCCGAAGGCGUCAAAUAAUGCAAAAGUGCAUUACUGGGGAUCUUCGAGAGCCUUGGAAAUCAAAAUCUGCAAACUGCAGGUUUUCUGUUCUCGGAGACCGGUCCCUGUGGGGAGAGACCGGUCCCCGAACGCGCAGGCAGCAAGAGGAGAGAAAAAUCGGCUAAGUCCUUGGUGGACAGCUCUCGGAGACCGGUCCCUGCUGGAGAGACCGGUCCCCCAAAGAAAGACCGGUUGCAUCAGGUGUGAGCUCUGCUAACUGCGGGGAGAAGCUCUCGGAGACCGGUCCCUCGUCGGGGAGACCGGUCCCCGAACCCAAAAAUGCCCAGUGAGGGCAAUGUAAAAGAAUAAAAGUUGAGGGGCUUGUUUGCACUUACACAACAUGUGGGGUUAUGUGAGGGGUAUGAGAGCUCUUUUCUCUCAUUUCUCACCCACACACCCUCUCCUAUCUCUCUUUCUCUCUCUAGAAGAUAAGAAGAAGAAGAAAGGAAAGGGAAGAAAAAGAAGAAGAAGGAGGUCUUCCUCAUCUUCCUCAUUUUCUCCUUGGUUGGAUCUUCUUGGAGAGGUAAGCUUCUAAGCUCUCUCUCAUGGUGGAUUUCUGGAGAUAGAUUUGAUUGCUCUAGAAAUGGAGUUUUGUAUUAUGUGAGGGCGUAGUACCUGCCAGUACAGGUAUAAAGCCAGAUGGCACUAGCGAAGUGUUAGAAGUAAUCUAUGGCGAGAAGUGAGACUCGCGGUAAAGAUAAAAGUGUCGAAAUGACUCUCAGAGCAAUAUGAGUAGUAAAUUGCGAGAGUCGAGCCAUAAUGCCUAUGGGCACCCAAGUAGUCCGAAAAUGUCGGAUGUCAUUCUGGUAGAUCGAACAGUGAAAGUAGCAUCACUGUUGAGAGAACGGUUGAUUAGUGGCCAAGUUUGAGCACGUGGGCCUAGUAGUACCUCAAGGUGAGGUAGGCGGUUGUGCUCGUGCGGCCAGUGUGCAUAGGCAAGAUUGCCUAAUGUUGGAUUUUGUGUGAAAUGCUGUAGAGGCGUAGAGCGCUCGAGUGUAGAUACCUGUAGAGUGCGGAUGUGGAUUCAGCUGAGACAGUGUACUGGCAGUAGCACUUGAGCAUUGCUAGGUGUGAAGCGUGCCAUGGAUCACUCGUGGGACUGGUGACUCGCAUUAGGUGCAUAGUAGCCGGUAGUGAUACGUGUGACUCGGUAGAGCAUAUCGUGUAGGACGACGACGGCGGGUAGUGCUUGGGGGACGACCCGUGCCUGGACCGUUUGUGGACUGUGGAGCCUCGGCCCAUUGGGCAGGCGCAGUCAGCUGCGAGUGACAAUGGCCCGGUACCUACGGGUAGGGCGGAGUUCUGGUCAGGACGGUAGUCCGAGCUUAAACCCGGGAGCGUAGAAUGCUACGUGAUAGAUUGUGUGACCGAUGGUACACCGAGUAUGGUUGUGACCCAACCCGAGGACAUGACGUGGUUUGGGGCCUUAGUUGCUCCUGGUUGGAGUGUGUGCGAAUUCCCAAGUGAGAAUUUCGCCCGAUCAAGAUUGGGCCUGCAUUUGCGAGCGAGAGACACUGCGUAUUGAGACAGGUUUAGGUGGUAGGCCUACGUAGGAUUGGUGGCCUGUGGUCCACCUGUGGAGACCGAAGAGAGCGAUUUGGCGGAUAGCCUUAUCGAGAAAUUCGACUCGAAUUCACGAACGAAGCGCUCGUGUGAGCUCGUUGCGAAAAUAGUUUGAUGUUAAUCGUGGCAUGUGGUAUCAGAUGAUGAAGUACUCAUUGUGAGACAUCAAACGAGUGGAAAGCCACGUGAUGUUGGAGAUUAUGCCCGUAAGCGAACUAAGACUUGAGAGGUGCCGAAGUGGGCCAUCUCACGUUAAAGUUAAUGGUCAGUGCGAAAUUAGAGCACUCAUAACGGAGUGAUGCAUCGGUGAUAUUGCUCCUAAGCAAUGUCGGUGAUCGAAUCAGAAUGUAUUCCCUUAAGGGAAGGUAAGUGCAAAGAAGAGUUCUUUGUAUACCGAAUGGCGAGUGGUGUUGGAGCACGUAGAGUCGUCGAGUACCGACUUGCGCUGCCACUAUGACUUGCAAGACCCGUGAUGCACUUUUGUAUCACACCUUGCAAAUGUGUUUAGGGUUAAACCACGUCCUUCAGUGUGAGCCGCUUCUGGAACACGAUUGUGUGAAGCCGUUUAGUGGGGGAAUGAGUUGGGUACCCUCAAUUGCUCAUGGAGCUGAAUUGAGCGUGAUUGAAUUUCGCGGACGAAAUUCGUUAAGGGGUGGAGAAUGUAACAUACCAAAUUUUGGUAUAAAAAUAAAAAUAAAUAAAAAAAUAGUGUGAGAAACUAUUUUUAUUGGAUUUAUAGAAGUAAAACAUAAGUCAGAAGUGACUUGUGCUGAAAAUCGGAAUGAAAACAGAAGAUUUAGAAUUUUCUGUUGGAAACGGGACAGAUAAAUUAGCCAGAAAAUGCACAGUCUCAAAAUUAUAAAAUUGGAGGAUUAAUCAGAAAUUAUUUUUAUGAGGCUAGAUUAAAGUUCAUAUUUUUCUGACACCCGUAGAGUGAGAAAUAAAAUCCGAAAGCUAUCUGAUAAAGAUUGCAGUUCGGUACAGUUUUCAGUGACCAAACGGGGUCGAAACUGAACCAGUGAUCGUCAGCUUGUUAAGUUAAGUAAAACCGAACAUGACUGUCAAGUUUGAGCUCAAACGGACACUCAGGAGCUCCGCGCGAAAGUUAUCAAUAUCAAGCUGCCGGGAUGAAUAGUGUUGGGGUGUAAUUAAAUAGGAGCUCUGGUCUUUUCCCCACAGCCCACACACACCCACGGGUCACACACGCACACACGCUUGGAGAGGGAGAAAGAGGAACUCCAUUUCUCUCUAAAUCUCUCCCAAAAAUGGAGGUUUUGUGGAGAAGUAAGCUUGGAAGUUGAUCUUCAUCUUCUUCGUCUUCUUCCUCUCCAUUGGAGCAAGCUUUGAAGUAAGCUUUCAAACCUUUAAUGGCAUUUCUCUCUAGUUGAUUUUUAAGCUCUAAGAGUGAUUUGAGGUAUUCUAGCAUGCUAAUUAAGGUUUGAUGCUAAACCAAGGCUCUAAUGGUGGAUUUUACCUAGUUGUAAUCUAGGGCUCGAAAAUACUAAUUUGUAAAUAUGAGGGUUUGAUCUCAUUUGCCCUCUGUAAACCUAAUUGCUAGGUAGAACGAACGCUGUUGGCGAAGAACGGUUCGCAAUCCGACGAGCCGUUACAAAGUUAUUAAGAAAAAUUGAACGUUUAGGCUUCGGGUCCGCCGGGAGGGCCGCGGCGAUAUCGUAAAUUCAUUGAAAAUGGAUUUGAAGGUCAUGUGGCACAUAACGAGACCUUUAAUUUUCGGAUCGUGAAUUGGAGGCGUUCGGGUGGUCGCGUGAAAAUCGGGCCAAAUCGGGCCGGGUGCCCGGGGAGGCAUUGCAAGUGUCGCAAGCAAUCGGAAUGCGAAAUAAGGUGGGUUGUGCUACCGAAGCGACUAGGGUCGCCCUUUAUGUCUAAAGAAAUGAGACUUCAAUAUUGAUGCUAUUGACAUAAUGUAAGAAUGUGAAAGAGAUGCAUGUUAACAUUACUAUAGAAAUGCUAGAUAAAUGCAUAUGAUUAAUACUUUGAAUGCAUAUGAAUUAAGUGCUAAAAGAAUGCAUGAGAUGCAAGUAUGGACUAAUUUUGGAUAAUGACUAUAUUAUGUUGACAAAUCAUGUGAUGCUAGUUAUAUAUGCAUGAUGAUAUAUUAUGAUUUACAUAUUGUGGAUUAUGUAUAAAUAGAAAACAUACUUGAUGACAUAUUGCCAUGUUGUGGAACAUAGUGGAACAACUCUAUAUAUAUAGAUCGAGUGGCAUUAAAACCUAGCAUCUUGAACCUAGCAAACACUUGUGGUGAUUGAGCAUGUUUAUUUUGGUGUCUUCAUGUAUGUUAGGACCCUAUUAUU
rnacentral:lncRNA from 1 species